CUAGCUAGGUCACGUUUACUAAUGACUAUUUGCACCUAGCAGUGAUGCCAUCAUUGUCCCGAGGCACGUUCUGGCAAGGCGAGAGGCUCUGCUUGUAGCACAGACGCUACCAUAGUCCCGAGGCUCUGUCUGGCAAGACCAGAAGCUCUGCACCUAGCAGAUGCCGCCAUAGUCCCGAGGCACCGUCUGGCAAGGCUGCCCUCACGGCAAAACAGGUUUAAUUUUGGCAGACGCCUUUCGUCAAGCAUGGUAC
rnacentral:lncRNA from 1 species